rnacentral:rRNA from 1 species
UGUCCAGACUCCUACGGGAGGCAGCAGUGGGGAAUAUUGCACAAUGGGGGAAACCCUGAUGCAGCAACGCCGCGUGAGUGAAGAAGUCAUUCGUGCUGUAAAGCUCUAUCAGCAGGGAAGAAAAUGACGGUACCUGAGUAAGAAGCCCCGGCUAACUACGUGCCAGCAGCCGCGGUAAUACGUAGGGGGCAAGCGUUAUCCGGAUUUACUGGGUGUAAAGGGAGCGUAGACGGCAUGGCAAGUCAGAUGUGAAAGCCCGGGGCUCAACCCCGGGACUGCAUUUGGAACUGUGUGGCUGGAGUGUCGGAGAGGCAGGCGGAAUUCCUAGUGUAGCGGUGAAAUGCGUAGAUAUUAGGAGGAACAUCAGUGGCGAAGGCGGCCUGCUGGACGACAACUGACGGUGAGGCGCGAAAGCGUGGGGAGCAAACAGGAUUAGAUACCCGAGUAAC